UACGGGGGGGGCAAGCGUUGUUCGGAAUUACUGGGCGUAAAGGGCUCGUAGGUGGCCAACUAAGUCAGACGUGAAAUCCCUCAGCUUAACUGGGGAACUGCGUCUGAUACUGGAUGGCUUGAGUUUGGGAGAGGGAUGCGGAAUUCCAGGUGUAGCGGUGAAAUGCGUAGAUAUCAGGAGGAACACCGGUGGCGAAGGCGGGUCUCUGGGCAAUAACUGACGCUGAGGAGCGAAAGCGUGGGGAGCGAACAGG
rnacentral:rRNA from 1 species